GAUAGCGCAUAGUACCGUGAGGGAAAGGUGAAAAGAACCCCUGGCGGGGAGUGAAAGAGAACCUGAAACCGUAUGUCUACAAACAGUCGAAGUCUGUAUAUAUAUCAGGACGACGGCGUGCCUAUUGAAGAAUGAACCGACGAGUUACUGUUGCUAGCGAGGUUAAGUGGAAAACAUGGAGCCGCAGCGAAAGCGAGUCUGAACAGGGCGUUCAGUUAGUAAUAGUAGACCCGAAACCGUAGUGAUCUAUCCAUGGCCAGGUUGAAGCACAGGUAAAAUUGUGUGGAGGACCGAACUCGUGAGCGUUGAAAAGCUUUGGGAUGAGUUGUGGAUAGGGGUGAAAUGCCAAUCGAACACGGAGAUAGCUGGUUCUCCCCGAAAUAGCUUUAGGGCUAGCCUCGAGGUAGAGAGUAUAGGCGGUAGAGCACUGAUCGGGCUAGGGGCCAUACCGGUUACCGAACCUAGUCAAACUACGAAUGGCUAUACUUAUACUCGGGAGUCAGACAGUGAAUGAUAAGGUCCAUUGUCAAGAGGGAAACAGCCCAGAACACCGACUAAGGUCCCCAAUGUUACACUAAGUGGCGAAGGAUGUGGAAUUUCCAAAACAACCAGGAUGUUGGCUUAGAAGCAGCCACCAUUUAAAGAGUGCGUAAUAGCUCACUGGUCGAGAGACUCUGCGCCGAAAAUGUCCGGGGCUAAAGUGUAAAACCGAAGUCGUGUCAUAUGCAGCAAUGUAUAUGGGUAGGGGAGCGUUCUCAUCGGGCUGAAGCAGUACCGUAAGGAGUUGUGGACUGAUGAGAAGUGAGAAUGUCGGUAUGAGUAGCGAAAAGAAUGGUGAGAAUCCAUUCCACCGAAAGCCUAAGGGUUCCUGAGCAACGAUCGUCGUCUCAGGGUAAGUCGGGACCUAAGCCGAGGCGGAAAAGCGUAGGCGAUGGACAACAGGUUGAAAUUCCUGUACCGGUGUGAAUCGUUUGAUCGAUGGAGUGACACAGUAAGGUAGGUCAGCACGCGAUUGGAAGUGCGUGUUUAAGCAGGUAGGUUGAGCUAUAGGUAAAUCCGUAGUUCUAAAAGCUGAGAUGUGAUGACGAGUGACUAGCAAUAGUCGCGAAGUGAUUGAUCCUACACUGUCGAGAAAAGCUUCUAGGUAGAGACACAUCGCCCGUACCAAAACCGACACAGGUAGGCGGGGAGAGAAUCCUAAGGUGCGCGGGAAAACCCUCGUUAAGGAACUCGGCAAAAUGCCUCCGUAACUUCGGGAAAAGGAGGACUCAUGUAGUGUGAAGAGCAGCAACGCUUGGAGCAUGAAUGAGUGGCACAAGAGAGGCGCAAGCGACUGUUUACCACAAACACAGGUGCCUGCUAAAGCGAAAGCUGAUGUAUAGGUGCUGACACCUGCCCGGUGCUGGAAGGUUAAGAGGAGGGGUUAGACUUCGGUCGAAGCUCUGAAUUGAAGCCCCAGUAAACGGCGGCCGUAACUAUAACGGUCCUAAGGUAGCGAAAUUCCUUGUCGGGUAAGUUCCGACCCGCACGAAAGGUGUAACGACUUGCGCACUGUCUCAACGAGGGACCCGGUGAAAUUGAAGUACCUGUGAAGAUGCAGGUUACCCGCGACUGGACAGAAAGACCCCAUGGAGCUUUACUGCAACCUAAGAUUGAACUUAGUUAAUGAAUGUACAGGAUAGGUGGGAGACGUAGAACCUAGGACGCCAGUUUUAGGGGAGUCGCUGUUGGGAUACCACCCUUUCAUUAAUUGAUUUCUAACGGGCCGAGUAACGACCGGCCGGACAGUCUUAGGCGGGCAGUUUGACUGGGGCGGUCGCCUCCAAAAGAGUAACGGAGGCGCCCAAAGGUUCCCUCAGAGCGGACGGAAAUCGCUCGAAGAGUGUAAAGGCAGAAGGGAGCUUGACUGCGAGACGGACAGGUCGAGCAGGGACGAAAGUCGGGCUUAGUGAUCCGGUGGUGCCGAGUGGAAGGGCCAUCGCUCAACGGAUAAAAGCUACCCUGG
rnacentral:rRNA from 1 species